rnacentral:rRNA from 1 species
AUUGAACGCUGGCGGCAGGCCUAACACAUGCAAGUCGAACGAGUGGCGGACGGGUGAGUAAUGUCUGGGAAAAUGACCGGUAGAGGGGGCUAAAUACUCGAAACGGUAGCUAAUACCGCAUACUAUUGGAUGGGCCGACAUGGGAUUAGCUAGUAGGUGGGGUAGAGGCUCAACUAGGCGACGAUCACUAGCUGGUCUGAGAGGAUGACCAGCCACACUGGAACUGAUACACGGUCCAGACUCCUACGGGAGGCAGCAGUGGGGAAUAUUGCACAAUGGGCGCAAGCCAGAUGCAGCCAUGCCGCGUGUAUGAAGAAGGCCUUCGGGUUGUAAAGUACUUUCAGCGAGGAGGCGUUACUCGCAGAAGAAGCACCGGCUAACUCCGUGCCAGCAGCCGCGGUAAUUC